rnacentral:lncRNA from 1 species
AUCACAUCUAGGAAGUGAGGAGCGUCUCUGCCCGGCCGCCCAUCGUCUGAGAUGUGGGGAGCGCCUCUGCCCCGCUGCCCCAUCUGGGAUGUGAGGAGCGCCUCUGCCCGGCCGAGACCCCGUCUGGGAGGUGAGGAGCGUCUCUGCCCGGCCGCCCCGUCUGAGAAGUGAGGAGACCCUCUGUCUGGCAACCACCCCGUCUGAGAAGUGAGGAGCCCCUCCGCCCGGCAGCUGCCCCGUCUGAGAAGGGAGGAGCCUCUCCGCCCGGCAGCCACCCCAUCUGGGAAGUGAGGAGCGUCUCCGCCCGGCAGCCACCCCGUCCGGCAGGGAGGUGGGGGGGGGGUCAGCCUCCCGCCCGGCCAGCCGCCCCAUCCGGGAGGGAGGUGGGGGGGUCAGCCCCCCGCCCGGCCAGCCGCCCCGUCCGGGAGGUGAGGGGCGCCUCUGCCCGGCCGCCCCUACUGGGAAGUGAGGAGCCCCUCUGCCCGGCCAGCCGCCCCGCCCGGGAGAGAGGUGGGGGUGUCAGCCCCCCGCCCGGCCAGCCGCCCCGUCCGGGAGGGAGGUGGUGGGGGUCAGCCCCCGCACCCGGCCAGCCGCCCCGUCCGGGAGGUGAGGGGCGCCUCUGCCCGGCCGCCCCUACUGGGAAGUGAGGAGCCCCUCUGCCCGGCCAGCCGCCCCGUCCGGGAGGGAGGUUGGGGGGUCAGCCCCCCGCCCGGCCAGCCGCCCCGUCCGGGAGGGAGGUGGGGGGGGUCAGCCCCCCUGCCCGGCCAGCCGCCCCGUCCGGGAGGUGAGGGGCGCCUCUGCCCGGCCGCCCCUACUGGGAAGUGAGGAGCCCCUCUGCCCGGCCACCACCCCGUCUGGGAGGUGUGCCCAACAGCUCAUU